rnacentral:rRNA from 1 species
UGGGGAAUAUUGGACAAUGGGCGAAAGCCUGAUCCAGCCAUGCCGCGUGUGUGAAGAAGGUCUUCGGAUUGUAAAGCACUUUAAGUUGGGAGGAAGGGCAGUAAGCGAAUACCUUGCUGUUUUGACGUUACCGACAGAAUAAGCACCGGCUAACUCUGUGCCAGCAGCCACGGUAAUACAGAGGGUGCAAGCGUUAAUCGGAAUUACUGGGCGUAAAGCGCGCGUAGGUGGUUCGUUAAGUUGAAUGUGAAAGCCCCGGGCUCAACCUGGGAACUGCAUCCAAAACUGGCGAGCUAGAGUAGGGCAGAGGGUGGUGGAAUUUCCUGUGUAGCGGUGAAAUGCGUAGAUAUAGGAAGGAACACCAGUGGCGAAGGCGACCACCUGGGCUCAUACUGACACUGAGGUGCGAAAGCGUGGGGAGCAAACAGG